AAACAAUCAGCAAUGGGAGGAUACUCUGCAAACUCAGGGGAUCUUGCAGAAGAAGGGAGGGGUGCAUCGAGCGUGCGACCAUGCAGUAUGUUUCCUGUUAAUUCAAAAGAUUUUCCGAGAAAGACAACACCACUUUCAACAGGCUGCACAGGGUCUGAGUUCGGCGUUGAGGAGGGCGUGGCCGAGGAGGACAGCUCUUUAGCGCCGAGUGACAAGUGGCGUUGAGACUUGAUCGCAGACGCUGACUCACAGAGGAACCCAUCAGCUGUAAGUAAUAACUUAUUGCUCUCUUCUGAACAAAAAGUGCAUAUAAAAAUCAUCUGAAUGAUAAUAAUAAAUUGUGUGUUAUGGAACACACCAUGUGUGUUUGUGUGUGUGUGUGUGUAUGUGUGUGUGUGUGUGUGUGUGUGUGUGUGUGUGUGUGUGUGUGUGUGUGUGUGUGUGUGUGUGUGUGUGUGUGUGUGUGAGAGAGCAUGCGUGUGUGCCUAUGUAUGCAUUUUUAAAUGUAUCUAUGUAUGUAUUUAGCAUGGUGUAACUAUACACAAUUACAUCUACCGCUACCCAUGUUGCAUGUUGUAUGUUGUAUGUUGUAACGAGCACCUCGUACGUGGCGACUCCCCCUUCCCACCGCAGCCUAUAGCGUGAAAUGCACGCUACACGCGUCACCGCGAACGGUUAGAUGUAAAUGUUGUUUUGCUCUUUUCACCGCCGCACUGCCAGGAAAUUACAACAGGCUUGCAAAUGACACGGUUGUAGACCUCCGAUUACAGCCCAGAGAGAGAGAGAGAGAGAAAGAGAGAGAGAGAAAGAGAGAGAGAGAGAGAGAGAGAGAGAGAGAGAGAGAGAGAGAGAGAGAGAGAGAGAGAGAGAGAGAGAGAGAGAGAGAGAGAGAGACAGAGAGAGAGAGAGAGAGAGAGAGACCGACCGACCGACCGACCGACCGACCGAACGACUGUCAGAGACUCAAGACUCAAUGGGCUGUUUGACUUGCCUCUAGUCGGUUUAAUGUCAUCAUGCCAUAGGCAAGUGGCAGCGACCUGAAUUCGAUAUGGGCUGGGAUUCAAUGUUUUUAUACAUUUUUAAAACUAACUUUGCCAAAAACUAGCAUGUCAUCUCUCAGUCUUUCUCUCUCCCACUCCUAGUCUGUGUCCAUGACUAGUCGAUGAGUGGCUGAACAUCUAUACAGUGUAACUUGGUUGUGUGUGAUAACCCUCCAACCCCGUUGUUAGAUCUCUACCCCCUUGAUUCCUUGAAUCAACGACUGUUGUGUUAUCUGGUUAUUGUCUUGUCACCCAGUACACAUAAAGAACGAUCUAGAACAGGUCACUGGACCGAAUCGGGCCCCUAGGACACGGUGCCCCCUAGGAGACAGGGCCCCGGGUAGUUACUGCCUGUCACUUUGACCACAAAGGGGGUGUUGGAGGGUCAUUUCAGGCCAACGGAGUCACCUUAAAUAUGUCGGUUUCAUCGUGAAUCACGUAAAGAGCAUGAAGAAUGGAAAAUACCUCUCACCAGUGACCAGAGACCAACGGGGUGUCUCCAAUUUGUUUGCUUUGUCUGCUGAACAGGAUAGGAAAUCAAUGCAUUUGUUUCCUAAUGAUAUAAAAUCGGGAAAAACACAAAGUAUUUUUGUUGGGUUAUUUUCCGACCGACAAAUAGAUUUAUCCACUCGUUUUUUGUUGUCACUUCAACGGCUGUAAACCAUCCCUGUGUUUAAAGAGUUUUAGUGUAACAGCACAUAUAUUAGCCGUAGGGCUAGAUAAUAUUACUCAUUUAAUACAGCAGACUGGAUGUCAUGCCAUCUCCCAUUGCCAAUGUGAUCAUUA
rnacentral:lncRNA from 1 species